rnacentral:piRNA from 1 species
UAAGAGUCUGUCAAGGGGAACUCCGG